AACGCAAAUUGCACUCUCUGGCAACCCGGGGAGUAUGCCUGUUUGAGGGUCAGUGUUAAUAAAAAUCGGUGCGUCGCAAUUUUUUUGUGAUGUUUCCGGAGUUUGAGUUAUCUUAACUCUUCUGGGUUUUUAAGAGGCUUAAAAUUGACCUUUUUUUGUGCAUUUUAGACGUACAUAAAUUUUUUUUUAUUCGUCUAUCUUAAUGCCAAAAUCUAUUAGAUGCGACCAUAUCGUGUGGUUCCGUGUCUAUAAAUUUUUCAUGAUUUGACCUCAAAUCAGGUAGGAACACCCGCUGAACUUAA
rnacentral:misc_RNA from 1 species